AUUGAACGCUGGCGGCAGGCCUAACACAUGCAAGUCGAGCGGAUGAAGGGAGCUUGCUCCUGGAUUCAGCGGCGGACGGGUGAGUAAUGCCUAGGAAUCUGCCUGGUAGUGGGGGAUAACGUCCGGAAACGGGCGCUAAUACCGCAUACGUCCUGAGGGAGAAAGGGGGGGAUCUUCGGACCUCACGCUAUCAGAUGAGCCUAGGGCGGAUUAGCUAGUUGGUGGGGUAAAGGCCUACCAAGGCGACGAUCCGUAACUGGUCUGAGAGGAUGAUCAGUCACACUGGAACUGAGACACGGUCCAGACUCCUACGGGAGGCAGCAGUGGGGAAUAUUGGACAAUGGGCGAAAGCCUGAUCCAGCCAUGCCGCGUGUGUGAAGAAGGUCUUCGGAUUGUAAAGCACUUUAAGUUGGGAGGAAGGGUAGUAAGUUAAUACCUUGCUGUUUUGACGUUACCAACAGAAUAAGCACCGGCUAACUUCGUG
rnacentral:rRNA from 1 species